GACGAACGCUGGCGGCGUGCUUAACACAUGCAAGUCGAACGGAAAGGCUCCAGCUUGCUGGAGUACUCGAGUGGCGAACGGGUGAGUAACACGUGGGUAAUCUGCCCUGCACUCUGGGAUAAGCCUGGGAAACUGGGUCUAAUACUGGAUAUGACCUUUCUCCUUAUGGGGUUUGGUGGAAAGUUUUUCGGUGUAGGAUGAGCCCGCGGCGUAUCAGCUUGUUGGUGGGGUGAUGGCCUACCAAGGCGACGACGGGUAGCCGGCCUGAGAGGGUGAUCGGCCACAUUGGGACUGAGAUACGGCCCAGACUCCUACGGGAGGCAGCAGUGGGGAAUAUUGCACAAUGGGCGGAAGCCUGAUGCAGCGACGCCGCGUGAGGGAUGACGGCCUUCGGGUUGUAAACCUCUUUCAGCAGGGACGAAGCGUAAGUGACGGUACCUGCAGAAGAAGCACCGGCUAACUAUGUG
rnacentral:rRNA from 1 species